CGGACGGGUGAGUAACGCGUGGUAAACCUGCCUUAUACAGGGGGAUAACACUUAGAAAUAGGNGCUAAUACCGCAUAAGCGCACAGCUUCGCAUGAAGCGGUGUGAAAAGCUCUGGUGGUAUACGAUGGUUCCGCGUCUGAUUAGCUAGUUGGUGGGGUAAUGGCCUACCAAGGCAACGAUCAGUAGCCGGCCUGAGAGGGUGAACGGCCACAUUGGGACUGAGACACGGCCCAAACUCCUACGGGAGGCAGCAG
rnacentral:rRNA from 1 species